rnacentral:rRNA from 1 species
UACGAAGGGGGCUAGCGUUGUUCGGAAUUACUGGGCGUAAAGGGUGCGUAGGCGGGUCUUUAAGUCAGGGGUGAAAUCCUGGAGCUCAACUCCAGAACUGCCUUUGAUACUGAGGAUCUUGAGUUCGGGAGAGGUGAGUGGAACUGCGAGUGUAGAGGUGAAAUUCGUAGAUAUUCGCAAGAACACCAGCGGCGAAGGCGGCUCACUGGCCCGAUACUGACGCUGAGGCACGAAAGCGUGGGGAGCAAACAGG